CCAAGCAGGAGGCUGAUUCUGGCUAGUGUAUCUCCAGGGAAGCAAUACCAGAGAAUCCUUCCCUAGUCUGAAAGGCCCUUUGAGGACCAGCAGGAAAAAGGGACCCAUCGAAGUAACACUGAAAUCCGAGGGAAUGAUUUUCAGGGCACAAAAGUAGGGUGGGACACAAGACUGGCAUUCCAGACACAGCCCAUCGGGCCAGGCUUUGGACAAGGAGAUGGAUUUCAUCUGAUUUCCCUUGACGGACGAGUUGUGUUCAGCAAACAGCCUGGUAUGCAGCUGUCACUCUGAUGCUGAGCUCUGACAGGCAUCGAUCAGGCUGCGGUGUGAGCAUGCAGAUACACACACAGGCCUCGUCAACAUCCGUGACUUGGAAGACAGCUCUGUCUGGGGCCAGGAUGACUACACCCCUUUCAGCAGAUGCUGCUAGGAGGAGAUUGCACCAAUGGGGAAAAGGAGACAGGAUGGAGCUUCUUCCAAAUACCCUUUCCUGGGCGGGAAGACAAGCUGUGGCAAUGAAGUGGAGUCACAAACGGGAGGAGAGACAGAUCCAACCUUGAUGGACAAGCUGCCAGAAUGGGAGCUUGUCCAGACAGCUGAGAUGGGCAUUAGGCUAAAGCUGGGGCACUGAGCUAGAGCUGGACAUAAAUGGCCUGUAAUCCCUAAGUCCAGGCAGAAGAAAUGGACCACUGGCAGCCCCAGCCUUCCGUCCUGCCUGGCAGCUCCUCUGGGCCUGAUGUUGCCCUCAGAAAGCCCUAGUGAGUUCCAGAGCACUCCAACUGAACUGAAGGUCAUCUGUCCCAAUGCUUCCUCCCCAAAGCAAAUGUCAUCCUUACACCUCUGAUAUCGGUGUCUAUCAACUUCGAUCUCCUUCAAAGAAGCCCAUUUCACUGUUAGAAAAGUCCUCUUUCAAGUGAAUGCCCUCUAACUUGAACUUCUUCCUACUGGUCUUAGUUUUGUACUCUGGAGCAAUUGGAAACACAUCUGAUCCAUUUUUUUUAUUUACCAGUGGAUGACUUUUAGAAAGUUCUCUGAACCCAAGUAUCACUUAGCUCAGAGGACUGGCUACCUUGAGGACUAAACGAGAGAAGCUCCGUCAAAGGAUGGGCACAGCACUUAGCAACAGUAAGUACACAAGUGUUCGUUCCUUGCCUCCUUCCACAUGACAACCAUUGGUAUUAUCAGUGUUUGUCCUUUCUUUCCAUCCCGAGUGAAUUCCAUUACCUGGACCUGGAUCCCAUAUUCUACACCACCCAGGUCCCUUCCUAGGAAUGCCCCUCCAUUUAUCAGGAUCCCUCUAAAAACACACUGCUUAGAACUGAACACAGUAUCUCAGAUGCUGUUUAGGCAGUGCAGAAUAAUUACCUCCUUUGAUCUAUAUGAUUUCUCUAUGAAUGCAAUUUUUAUCAGUCACUUCACACUGUUAGCUACAGUUGGUGGUAAAUAAAACCCUGUGGGGUAAUUUUCAUGUAAAUUGCUGUCAAGCUAGGUCACCUUCAUCUUGUAAUGGUGUAACUGAUUUUUGAACUUAAACAUGGGACUUGUGGCCAUCUCACAUUGGAAGCUGCAGCCCAUCUCUCUCUCUCUCAUACUUACAGGAGAUAUUGAACUUUGAUUUUUCUGUUCUAACAGUAAAAAGUCUUGUUCAUCUCAAAUGUCUUUCCUGGGCCUCUGCCUUUGUCUUCGGGAGGGUGGACUCAGGGGCAGAAACAUGAACUUGCACAGUGGCUCCAAGAUACCCCAUGGGAAGGAUUUGGUGACACUGUCCAGGAGGAAAACUCCUGCACUGGGAAGCUGUGGGAAGCUCUGGAAGCAAGCACACAGGGCAGAACCAGAGAAGGAGCAGUCAGCACUCCACCCUCUGGAAAGCCUGAGCCCCCUCCUUCCCAGUUACUGGAUCUGAGGCUUUCACUCAAGCAAGUGAAGCUACUGCCACUCGCAUGGGCCCAGCGGUGGAUUUGGUGGAGUCUACGGUCAAAAUGGAGACGACACAGAAAAGAGCUCAGAGGCAUCUAGGAAAUGAUGCUCUUUCUCAGCUCAGGAGGACUGACUUAGCCCUGCUGCCUCCCAGAGCCCUUCAUCACGGCAGCUCUGCCUAUCUUCUUGGAUUAACAAUGGUUCUGUCAAAUAAGUAUGGAAUGUUUCUGGAAAAGGCUGGCUGGGUCAUAGGUAGAUGGUUGUGGGAAUGCAGAGAACAGAGAUUUGAUUUGCAGGUGACAUGAUAAAUGGAAGAGAGAUUUGGGCCCUAAGACUGGGGGAAGAGAUGGAAGACCAAAAAAAUCAGCCAGAAACUUGAGGCUAAAGAGAGCUUUUCUCAAGUAUUGCUCCAAUGGCAAAAUUGCUGGGGAUCUGAGGGACAUGUGGAACUCAUUUGGGGUCUAGCUCCCAGAUUUUAUACCAGCAAUAAGGUCGAUAACUAAUGAAGUCCUUGCUACAGUGCAGUAACUGAACUGCUCACGUCAGUGAAGCUAAACUUGCAGAGGCUUUCUUUUCUCAGUAUCAGACUCAAUGCUGUGAGGAUAAGUUAUCUGGGGAAAAGAGGUAAGGAGAAGAACAAUGAGGUAUGGGAUUUCUACUGUACUUUUUUCUGUAGGACCUGCUGGAUCCUUCUGCCUCAAUUUGUCUGCAAAUGACAUAAACAUGCAUUAAAGAUGGCCAGAAAACAGUGACUUUUGCAAAUGCCUCCAUAGAGGCGUUCAAACAGAAAAACCAUCCACAUGCUAAAAAGAGGGAGGUGAGAAAGAAGAGGGAGAACUGGGUAAAUUAAGUGCUCCAUAUCUUGUCCUGUUAACGUCUCCUUUACACACACAUACAUGUAAGCGAGUGCUUGCAUGUCUGGUUCAGUCUUCUUACGAAAACCCAGUGGAAACAACCAUGCAGUCUCUGAGGCUACCUGCCUUAGACAGAGAAUGUCACUGAGGUCACUUCUGUUUUUAUUCAGAAUGCAGUGCUCUCUGAGAACCCUUUCCUUUGUGGGCGUUUACCCCAGCCUCCCCAAUUCCAGCCAAGCUUUCACUUGAUGAUUCUAAGACAUUAGCUCAGAAUCUCUUUUACCUUCACACUGCCCCAGAGAUCCACUGUACCCUGGACCUCAUCAUUCUAUCCUCUCCUGCAUACGUUGCUGGGACACUCUAGCCAAUUUCUUCCCAUAAUUCUUCAUAAUAUUAUCAUCCCCAUUUUAUGGAUGAGGACCCUGAAGGUUAAAGGAUUAAGUGGUUUAGGUCUAAGGCCAUGCAGCUGGUAAGUGACAGGGCCAGAAUUCAAACACAGGUCUCUGAUUCCAAGGUCCACGCUGCUGACCAUAAUGCCAUCCUGCUGCACUGACACUUCACUAGACUUGAAGCUCCUCAAGCCUUCUGGUCUUAUCAAUGACAGGUGGUGCUUGGGGAGGUGAGUGCUCUUAGAACUAUGAUGGACUUGAGAGGAAAGGAAAGGAAGAGGGGGAACUGGUGGGCUUCAUGUCAGAAUGGCACCUGAAGAGGAAACUGUCCUUGUCGGGAGGCCUUGGAGGGAUGGAGUGGGGGCAGUUUCGGGGAAAGAGCAGUUAAGAGAGGAGAGGACAGGAAGGAGAGGGGCUGGGAGAUAACAACAUGGUGGAGCAGGGACUUGUUUCUUUUAACCAGAAGACAGAAAAUCUUCUGGGGCACUUGACAGAGUGGAUCAAGUCCCCCAGACUUGACUUCAUCAAUUGUGGAGCCUUCCACGGUGUUAUAAAAUUCAGGCUGAGUUGGGAAGAGAAGAGUGAAAAAAUCUGCAGGUUGAAAUCAUGCUGGUUUUGCUCCAGUAAGGGUAGCAUGAGGGGUUAGAGGGAACACUGCAAAAGGAGCAGACCUUGAAGGGGAAAGGUUCUGGCCCCAUUUCUACCUUGAGAUGACUGUGGGGCCAAAAUAGCCAAGGCUGCUUAGAAGGAGCUCCAAAAGGCUCUGUAAUGCUGCUAACAGUCCUGCUCUUUUGGAGACAGGAAGACAGAUCAGACAAACACCCGUGUGAACAGCUGGAAGAAGGAGCUGUAAACCAGAGGGACCAUUCUCUCUCUACUCACUGAAAGUGCACUGCAGAAGAGCCAGUGGGGUAGAGAAGACACAUGGGGGAGUGAUGAAUAUUUUAUUUGGAGAACUGAGGAUCUCUUACAGCAGCAGGGAUGAUACACAUAUACCCUGCAUCACUUGAGAGCUCCCUGUGGCCCCUUUUCUAAUAGCUUUCUGCCGUCUCGCCCUCCAAAACAAAAACUGGUCCCAGCAGCACUCUCCACAGCCACUGCAGCUGGACAGGCCACCACUGAGAAGCUGUUUUCAGGGGUAACACCUUCCCUCUCUCCCGUCCCAAGGCUGUUACCAAACAGGCUGCGUGUUUUUCCCAGUUCAUCCCACUCUUUCCAAUCAGUGCUAAUUGAACCACUUAACUCAAAGACAGUAACAUUUGUCGUUUCAAACCAUUAAGAAAAGUGACUAAAUUGAGGCGUCAUACAUGAGGCCUGCUCUGGCAUCACAGCACACUCACAUGCAAACAUGCCCACAAAUGCCCACAAGGCACACUCAAUGUGUAAACAUGCACAACUAACAGAGCUUAAGGAGAAAGUCUGCAAAGCGUAGUCAGCAAAUGUCAGCCUGUCUUUCUCAACAAGUUUUCCUGAAUUGGAAAAAAAAAAAAAAAAGAAAAAAAAUCACUGCCAGUUCCAAUUCGGAGCCUGGAAAUUGAGGCUGUGGUCUCAGGGUCUCCCAGAGCUUCUGCCUCUUGCAUUCUCUGAAGUCCAGAUAAGAACAAGGAAGAAGACAGUCGGGUGCGGUGGCUCAUGCCUGUAAUCCCAGCACUUUGGGAGGCUAAGACGGGUGGAUCACGAGGUCAGGAGAUCGAGACCAGCCUGGCCAACAUGGUGAAACCCUGUCUCUACCAAAAAUACAAAAAUUAGCCGGGCAUGAUGGUGGGCGCCUGUAGUCCCAGCUACUCGGGAGGCUGAGGCAGGAGAAUUGUUUGAACCCGGGAGGCCGAGGUUGCAGUGAGCCGAGAUCACACCAUUGCACUCUAGCCUGGGCAAUAAGAGCGAAAUUUCGUCUCAAAAAAAAAAAAAGAUGCAGGUUCAUAAACAAUAAGUCAUACAAAACUCAUUUCCUUUGUAGGUGGGUCACUAGUCUGUAAAACAAGGAGUCUAUCUUAAACCUGCCCAGGGACUGAAUUAUUUUAGCUGGGUCAAUGACGGGGCACAAAAUGGAAACCACAAACUAAGUUAUACCCUUUUCAAAGAUCUCUCAACUCUGAUUAUGUCUUAGUUUGCCGCUAAUCUGUCUUUAGUAUCUCUUUCACAAAAGAGGAGCAGAGCCUUACAGGCAAAUAGGAUUUAGCCAGAAUUCACCAACACUGUUCUGUAUUCUAUGUGUUUAUUUUUAAGAUUUCCUUUCAUUUAUGGUAAGUGGUAUUUUUCCAUUUAAUAAAGCUUCCUUUAAAAAAGA